UACGUAGGGUGCGAGCGUUGUCCGGAAUUAUUGGGCGUAAAGGGCUCGUAGGCGGUCUGUCGCGUCGAAAGUGGAAACUCAGGGCUUAACCCUGAGCCUGCUUCCGAUACGGGCGGACUAGAGGUAUGCAGGGGAGAACGGAAUUCCUGGUGUAGCGGUGAAAUGCGCAGAUAUCAGGAGGAACACCGGUGGCGAAGGCGGUUCUCUGGGCAUUACCUGACGCUGAGGAGCGAAAGCGUGGGGAGCGAACAGG
rnacentral:rRNA from 1 species